rnacentral:rRNA from 1 species
AAUGAACGCUGGCGGCAGGCCUAACACAUGCAAGUCGAACGGAUCCUUCGGGAUUAGUGGCGGACGGGUGAGUAACGCGUGGGAACAUACCCAAAGGUACGGAAUAGCCUCGGGAAACUGGGAGUAAUACAGUAUGUGCUCGAAAGCGGAAAGAUUUAUCGCUUUUGGAUUGGCCCGCGUUGGAUUAGGUAGUUGGUGGGGUAAUGGCCUACCAAGCCGACGAUCCAUAGCUGGUUUGAGAGGAUGAUCAGCCACACUGGGACUGAGACACGGCCCAGACUCCUACGGGAGGCAGCAGUGGGGAAUCUUAGACAAUGGGGGAAACCCUGAUCUAGCCAUGCCGCGUGAUCGAUGAAGGCCUUAGGGUUGUAAAGAUCUUUCAGGUGGGAAGAUAAUGACUGUACCACCAGAAGCAGCCCCGGCUAACUCCGUGCCAGCAGCCGCCGUAA